rnacentral:rRNA from 13 species
UGUCUCUAACUCUUUCUCGAACUAUUAUCGAUUGUGAGAGACCAUAUCAAAGCAGACGCAAUAUAC